rnacentral:rRNA from 1 species
GUAGGGAAUAUUGGACAAUGGGCGAAAGCCUGAUCCAGCAAUGCCGCGUGAGUGAUGAAGGCCUUAGGGUUGUAAAGCUCUUUUGGCGGGGACGAUGAUGACGGUACCCGCAGAAGAAGCCCCGGCUAACUUCGUGCCAGCAGCCGCGGUAAUACGAAGGGGGCUAGCGUUGUUCGGAAUUACUGGGCGUAAAGGGCGCGUAGGCGGCGUCGGAAGUCAGGCGUGAAAGCCCCGGGCUCAACCUGGGAAUUGCGUUUGAUACUCUGAUGCUUGAGUUCGGGAGAGGUGAGUGGAAUUCCCAGUGUAGAGGUGAAAUUCGUAGAUAUUGGGAAGAACACCAGUGGCGAAGGCGGCUCACUGGACCGAUACUGACGCUGAGGCGCGAAAGCGUGGGGAGCAAACAGGAUUAGAAACCCUAGUAGUCC